AUACGGAGGAUCCGAGCGUUAUCCGGAUUUAUUGGGUUUAAAGGGUGCGCAGGCGGGAGAUUAAGUCGGCGGUGAAAUUUUGCAGCUCAACUGUAAAAGUGCCUUCGAAACUGGUUUCCUUGAGUGUAGAUGAAGUAGGCGGAAUUUGUGGUGUAGCGGUGAAAUGCAUAGAUAUCACGAGGAACUCCGAUUGCGCAGGCAGCUUACUAAACUACUACUGACGCUCAGGCACGAAGGCGUGGGGAUCAAACAGGAUUAGAUACCCUGGUAGUCCACGCAGUAAACGAUGAUUACUCGCUGUUUGCGAUACAAUGUAAGCGGCUAAGCGAAAGCAUUAAGUAAUCCACCUGGGGAGUACGUUCGCAAGAAUGAAACUCAAAGGAAUUGACGGGG
rnacentral:rRNA from 1 species